rnacentral:rRNA from 1 species
GAUGAACGCUAGCUACAGGCUUAACACAUGCAAGUCGAGGGGUAACGAGAGGAAAGCUUGCUUUCCUUGUCGACGACCGGCGCACGGGUGAGUAACGCGUAUCCAACCUGCCCCCAACUAAGGAAUAACCUUGCGAAAGUAAGACUAAUACCUUAUAAUUUCCUCAGAUGUCAUCUGACGAGGAAUAAAGAUUUAUCGGUUGUGGAUGGGGAUGCGUCUGAUUAGCUUGUUGGCGGGGUAACGGCCCACCAAGGCAACGAUCAGUAGGGGUUCUGAGAGGAAGGUCCCCCACAUUGGAACUGAGACACGGUCCAAACUCUUACGGGAGGCAGCAGUGAGGAAUAUUGGUCAAUGGGCGAAAGCCUGAACCAGCCAAGUAGCAUGCAGGAUGACGGCCCUAUGGGUUGUAAACUGCUUUUAUACAGGAAUAAAGUUAGCCACGUGUGGUUAUUUGUAGGUACUGUAUGAAUAAGGACCGGCUAAUUCCGUGCCAGCAGCCGCGGUAA